rnacentral:rRNA from 1 species
AUGAACGCUAGCGGCAGGCUUAACACAUGCAAGUCGAGGGGCAGCGCGAUGUAGCAAUACAUUGGCGGCGACCGGCGCACGGGUGCGUAACACGUAUGGAACUUACCCUUUACUGGGAGAUAGCCCGGAGAAAUCCGGAUUAAUAUCCCAUAAUAAACGAGGUGGCAUCACUUUGUUUUGAAAGCUACGGCGGUUAUAGAUGGGUAUGCGUCUGAUUAGCUAGUUGGUGAGGUAACGGCUCACCAAGGCGACGAUCAGUAGGGGAUCUGAGAGGACUAACCCCCACACUGGUACUGAGACACGGACCAGACUCCUACGGGAGGCAGCAGUAAGGAAUAUUGGUCAAUGGAGGCAACUCUGAACCAGCCAUGCCGCGUGCAGGAUGACGGCCCUAUGGGUUGUAAACUGCUUUUGUACCAGAGAAAACCUACUCACGUGUGAGUAGCUGAUAGUAUGGUAAGAAUAAGCAUCGGCUAACUUCGUG